CGGCAUCGGGAAGAGGGAAAAGGAGCAAUCCGCUUUGAGAUGGCCUCGCGUCCGAUUAGCUAGUUGGUGAGGUAACGGCCCACCAAGGCGACGAUCGGUAGCCGGACUGAGAGGUUGAACGGCCACAUUGGGACUGAGACACGGCCCAGACUCCUACGGGAGGCAGCAGUGGGGAAUAUUGCACAAUGGGGGAAACCCUGAUGCAGCGACGCCGCGUGGAGGAAGAAGGUCUUCGGAUUGUAAACUCCUGUUGUUGAGGAAGAUAAUGACGGUACUCAACAAGGAAGUGACGGCUAACUACGUGCCAGCAGCCGCGGUAAAACGUAGGUCACAAGCGUUGUCCGGAAUUACUGGGUGUAAAGGGAGCGCAGGCGGGAAGGCAAGUUGGAAGUGAAAUCCAUGGGCUCAACCCAUGAACUGCUUUCAAAACUGUUUUUCUUGAGUAGUGCAGAGGUAGGCGGAAUUCCCGGUGUAGCGGUGGAAUGCGUAGAUAUCGGGAGGAACACCAGUGGCGAAGGCGGCCUACUGGGCACCAACUGACGCUGAGGCUCGAAAGUGUGGGUAGCAAACAGGAUUAGAUACCCUGGUAGUCCACACCGUAAACGAUGAUUACUAGGUGUUGGAGGAUUGACCCCUUCAGUGCCGCAGUUAACACAAUAAGUAAUCCACCUGGGGAGUACGACCGCAAGGUUGAAACUCAAAGGAAUUGACGGGGGCCCGCACAAGCAGUGGAGUAUGUGGUUUAAUUCGACGCAACGCGAAGAACCUUACCAAGUCUUGACAUCCUGCGACGGUUCUGGAAACAGAGCUUUCCUUCGGGACGCAGAGACAGGUGGUGCAUGGUUGUCGUCAGCUCGUGUCGUGAGAUGUUGGGUUAAGUCCCGCAACGAGCGCAACCCUUAUGGUCAGUUACUACGCAAGAGGACUCUGGCCAGACUGCCGUUGACAAAACGGAGGAAGGUGGGGAUGACGUCAAAUCAUCAUGCCCUUUAUGACUUGGGCUACACACGUACUACAAUGGCGUUAAACAAAGAGAAGCAAGACCGCGAGGUGGAGCAAAACUCAGAAACAACGUCCCAGUUCGGACUGCAGGCUGCAACUCGCCUGCACGAAGUCGGAAUUGCUAGUAAUCGUGGAUCAGCAUGCCACGGUGAAUACGUUCCCGGGCCUUGUACACACCGCCCGUCACACCAUGAGAGCCGGGGGGACCCGAAGUCGGUAGUCUAACCGCAAGGAGGACGCCGCCGAAGGUAAAACUGGUGAUUGGGGUGAAGUCGGAACAAGGUA
rnacentral:rRNA from 1 species